rnacentral:misc_RNA from 1 species
GUGAAUCAUCGAAUCUUUGAACGCAAAUUGCACUCUCUUCGGAGAGUAUGGCUGUUUGAGGGGCAGCCUAAAAAAAAUCGUCAUAGUUUCUGUUUCGCGGUGACAUUCGUUGGCAAUUGGUUCAUCUUAAACCUUUGGGUUUUGAGCGGCAUAAAGUUUUCUUUGCGCUUUCACGAACGAUUCUAAUGUUUUACUUCUUACUCGUUUAAGGUAUUGAUCUUUAUUAGAGGUGCCCGUUGCAUC